UAGACUAGAAGACACCUCUGUUCAUUUAGCCUUUCCACACAGUUCAAGGUUUCUAAACUUCUCACCAUUACCACUGCUUUCCCCAAGGCCCUCUGUAAUUACUCCAUAUCCUUCUCAAAACACAGUGCCCCAAACUAGAUCUGCUUUCCACCCAUGUUGAGUUGGGCAGAAAAACGUCGUCUUGUGUCUCAAAGGCCAUACUGCUGCUCACACACCUUGUGAGGAGAUCUCCUUGCCCUAACUGGGUAAGGGAGUGAUCCCCCCAUGAUACAGGCAAUGAUAAUUUCAGCCUGAGGUUAGGGCUGUCACCAUGUGGAAUUGCACAUUUUUGUGGUGGGUUCUUUUUUUACCAAACUGUUUCUCCAGUUUGUCAAGAUCAGUUUGUCCCCAGCCAUGCUGGUUGCCUGAACCAGCUUGGCAGUACCUGCAAAUUUAGCAAAUGUACUCACUAAAAACCAUCCAUAAAGGAGACCCAGGUGGUGGACAGACCCCUGUAGAUCCCCCCCAGUUUUGACAGUGAACCUGUGAGAGUUAAUAGGACAGUUAAUAGCACUUUUGGCUACCAUACAGUAUAUGUCAUCUGGUCGUUACCCUACUUCUUUAUGAAAAUGCCAUGAGGGCAGGAUCAAAGGCUUAUUAAGGAACCCUGCCCUCACCCACAGGGCCUGUUAAGCUGUUGAAGGAAAUUCAUCGGAUUAACAAGACCUGUUUCUGAUGGAUUCAUAUUAAGUCUUGCUCAUUUCCUACCAGUUACUUUCAUGCAAGUGUUUGCCAGGCAACUGAAGUUAAGCUGGCCAGCCCAAAACUCCCUGGAUUCUUCCUUUCCCUCUCUUGAAGAUAGGAAUUAUUAUUGCUGUUUUCCAGCAUUUCUUCUGGGCUGUGUCUAUCCUCCAGGAGUUUCCCUCAGGAGGUUCAGAGCAGUCAGCCUCUGGGAAAGGAAGGAGAAGGGUCUCUUUUGAAGUACUGCAGUAGGAAGCUUUAACAUCAGUGCUUGCUUUUGGGAAGUUUAGUCUGCUAUAUACUGCAGAGACACGUUGGGCUGAUAAGCAAUAGUUAAGAAACCAGCCCCUGGCUGUGAGAGCUCAUAGAGGAUCUUAUAAGGUGCUUUUGUACUUCCAAAGGUAGUUUCAUUUCUUUGUGUCAUCAUCAGGUUACAAACAGGCCAUUCAGACCACCAGCACCGUUCUAAUACCAUGAUUGAAAAGCAGGUUAUUAUUUUUUAGUCUGUGUAACUCUAUUGCUCUGCCAUCCACAGCCUUCAGCUAAGAUAUUUUUAAAUGAGUAAUUUCAAAGUGAUAAAAGAUUUAUCAUAAAGCCUUUUUUUUUUUUUAAGGAACACUGUUCUGUGGCUUAGACCUUGAGGUUAAAGAAUUCCAAGAUCUAUUUUUUUAAAAAUCUACUAACGUUUUUCUGAAACUAGGAGACAGUACUUUGUUUGGUUACUUUUUACAUUUCAACUUUACCGUCAAUAUUAGUGGUCUACCACUUAUAGAAAGGUGCUGGGAAAAAAAUGAAGCUCUCUUUGCUGUGUGGGAAGAAACAUGUGACAGUGAGAAAACAAUAAAUAAAGCAUAUUUGAUUCUUCUUU